AGUUAAUAAGCUUUAAUAGCAAUUGUUUUGAAAACAUUAGAUAGAAAUUAAACCUUUCUAUUAACUUUACUAAUUUUAAUUA
rnacentral:tRNA from 1 species